rnacentral:rRNA from 1 species
CCUACGGGUGACAGCAGUGAGGAAUAUUGGUCAAUGGGCGAGAGCCUGAACCAGCCAAGUCGCGUGAGGGAGUACUGCCCUAUGGGUUGUAAACCUCUUUUGUCGGGGAGCAAAAGCCGGACGUGUCCGGCUGUGAGAGUACCCGAAGAAAAAGCAUCGGCUAACUCCGUGCCAGCAGCCGCGGUAAUACGGAGGAUGCGAGCGUUAUCCGGAUUUAUUGGGUUUAAAGGGUGCGCAGGCGGAUUUUUAAGUCAGCGGUAAAAUCGUGGGGCUCAACCCCAUCCAGCCGUUGAAACUGGGGAUCUAGAGUGUGCGAGAGGUAUGCGGAAUGCGCGGUGUAGCGGUGAAAUGCAUAGAUAUCACGCAGAACCCCGAUUGCGAAGGCAGCAUACCGGUGCACAACUGACGCUCAGGCACGAAAGCGUGGGUAUCGAACAGGAUUAGAUACCCCUGUAGUC